rnacentral:rRNA from 1 species
CCUACGGGGUGCAGCAGUAGGGAAUAUUGCUCAAUGGGGGAAACCCUGAAGCAGCAACGCCGCGUGGAGGAUGAAGGUUUUCGGAUUGUAAACUCCUUUUGUUAGAGAAGAUAAUGACGGUAUCUAACGAAAAAGCAUCGGCUAACUCCGUGCCAGCAGCCGCGGUAAUACGGAGGCUGCGAGCGUUAUCCGGAUUUAUUGGGUUUAAAGGGUGCGCAGGCGGCGAGUUAAGCCAGCGGUAAAAUUUCGGGGCCAAACCCCGACAAGCCGUUGAAACUGGCUUGCUAGAGUGGGCGAGAAGUAUGCGGAAUGCGUGGUGUAGCGGUGAAAUGCAUAGAUAUCACGCAGAACUCCGAUUGCGAAGGCAGCAUACCGGCGCCCAACUGACGCUCAGGCACGAAAGCGUGGGUAUCGAACAGGAUUAGAUACCCCAGUAGUC